rnacentral:rRNA from 1 species
UACGUAGGGGGCUAGCGUUGUCCGGAUUUAUUGGGCGUAAAGAGCGUGUAGGCGGCCGUACAGGUCAGCUGUGAAAACUCGAGGCUCAACCUCGAGACGUCGGUUGAAACCAUCUGGCUAGAGUCCGGAAGAGGAGUGUGGAAUUCCCGGUGUAGCGGUGAAAUGCGCAGAUAUCGGGAAGAACACCCGUGGCGAAGGCGGCACUCUGGGACGGUACUGACGCUGAGACGCGAAAGCGUGGGGAGCGAACAGG